rnacentral:lncRNA from 1 species
UCUGUUUAGUGUGUGAGUAUACCUGACAGAACUGUUUGGCUGUCGUUUGUUAUUUCUUUGCGAAGUGCUUUCAUUCAAAAAAUAAAAGAUGAGCACUCAACACGCUGCGCCUUGGUCUGUUCACUACGACGCCUGUGACAAAGCCAGGUGGGAUAGAGUUAAAAAAGCCCUCCCACUAUGGCAUGGACCAACUAUCUGUCAUUUUGAAGGCAGGCCGUAGCAUCAAGUUUACAGUUUCGGCACCCAGGGGAAACAAUCCCACCACUGGGGAAGAGGUGGUGGGAAAUGAUCAGGAGGAGGCACAAGAACCUGAGCAUGAGGAGGCCGGACACCAUAGACAGGGGGAGAGCGGAGUGUGCCACACGUCCGAUGAUGGACACCUUCUUUACUUCUUCUGAGAAGCACUUGGAGGAGAUUGGGUUGAGGGAGAAACCCAGACAAUUAUAUAACUGCGAUGAUUCUGGGUUUUGUAGCGACCAGGCACAAAGCGCUGGCUCCCCGGGGUGCAAAACACGUGUACCAGCAGGCUCCAGGGACCAAGGAGCACAUCACAGUGCUGGCCUGCUUCAACGCAGCUGGGGAGGAUGUCCCCCUGUUUAUCAUCUACCCCAAGUGUUUCCCCGGUGGCCACUACACACUGGGAGCCCCCCCCCUAAGCUUUGUAUGGACAGUCAAACAGUGGCUACAUUGACAGGGACCUGUUCAGGAAGUGGUUUCAGCACUUUAUUCAUUAUGCAGUGAAGGAGCGCCCUCUCUUUCUCUUCAAUGGACACAAGCCACAUGGACCUGGAGGUGCUCGUGGCGGCACUAAGGGAAGGGGUUAUACUUCUUUGUCUUCCACCACACUGCACCUAUGUCCUGCAGCUGCUGGACGUGGCAUACUUUGGCCCUUUAAAGGCUGAGUUCUCCAAGGUAGCUGGAGACCUCAGCCAUUUUGACCACUCCUACAUUGUAAACAAAUCAGAAUUUGCCAGAGUAUUCCAGAUGAGACCAUUGACUCCAUCGCCUCUGCUGAACCUCCUGCUGGAACCAUUCCUGACAGCUGCAUCGCCAGUGCCUCCCAGUGUCCAACACCUGUAAGAGCAUCCGUAGCCCCCAGCUGCAGAUAAAAGGCCAGAAAAAAUGCAACGUGCCUACACUCCCUGCCACACCAAUACAAACACCAGCCUCCAAACCAUCGUCGGCAGUGUCGCCCACGACCACCAUGAUGCACCCCCCCCAUCUGUCACCACCAAUGCGGCCUCCUCUGGACCAACUGCCUCCUCCGUCUCCCCUGGUCACACCACCAUAGCAGCUUCGUAUGGUGUCCCUGCCCCCUGCAAUUUGAAUACAGCCACCUCCACAGUCCAUAGCACCAGCCCUCAAGGCAUGUCCACCUCCUCCAAAACUUCGGCAGCUUCCUCCAGGGGUAUUGUUGUAAAACAUUUGACAAGGGUUUUCAUGAAUCAUGCUCUGUUUCACACUACUUGUUCUCUUAACUGCAGCACAGAAAAGGAAGAGAAAAGCUCCACCUGCCACCUCUGUCACGCUACUCAUGGCAGCACUCUCGGGUACAUCAUAAUCUUUGUUUUCCUCUCUGUUGUAUCAAUUACUAUUGUUGCUGUAGUGCUUCUACAUUUUGCAAAACCAUGUUUAUCAAUUGAAUGUGUUUUUUAAUUACUUUUUUUCAAAUAAAAUAAGACACCACCUGCUGUGCUCACUGCAGGGAGUGUGAUCCACCUGCAAGCUCCCGCAGGAGUGUAGGUCCGAGGUGCCAUAGGUGUGCUGUGACUUCUGCCAGCACUGGUUCUACUGCAGGUGUGUGCUGUGAAUUCUGCCAGCACUGGUUCUACUGCAGGUGUGUGCAGUGACUUCUGCCAGCACUGGUUCUACUGCAGGUGUGUGCAGUGACUUCUGCCAGCACUGGUUCUACUGCAGGUGUGUGCAGUGACUUCUGCCAGC